rnacentral:rRNA from 1 species
UACGUAGGUGGCAAGCGUUAUCCGGAUUUAUUGGGCGUAAAGGGAACGCAGGCGGUCUUUUAAGUCUGAUGUGAAAGCCUUCGGCUUAACCGGAGUAGUGCAUUGGAAACUGGGAGACUUGAGUGCGGAAGAGGAGAGUGGAACUCCAUGUGUAGCGGUGAAAUGCGUAGAUAUAUGGAAGAACACCAGUGGCGAAAGCGGCUCUCUGGUCUGUAACUGACGCUGAGGUUCGAAAGCGUGGGUAGCAAACAGU